AACGAACGCUGGCGGCAGGCCUAACACAUGCAAGUCGAGCGAGGACUUCGGUUCUAGCGGCGGACGGGUGAGUAACGCGUGGGAAUGUGCCCUUCUCUACGGAAUAGCCCUGGGAAACUGGGAGUAAUACCGUAUACGCCCUUUUGGGGAAAGAUUUAUCGGAGAAGGAUCAGCCCGCGUUGGAUUAGGUAGUUGGUGGGGUAAUGGCCUACCAAGCCGACGAUCCAUAGCUGGUUUGAGAGGAUGAUCAGCCACACUGGGACUGAGACACGGCCCAGACUCCUACGGGAGGCAGCAGUGGGGAAUCUUAGACAAUGGGGGCAACCCUGAUCUAGCCAUGCCGCGUGAGUGAUGAAGGCCUUAGGGUUGUAAAGCUUUUCAGCUGGGAAGAUAAUGACGGUACCAGCAGAAGAAGCCCCGGCUAACUCCGUG
rnacentral:rRNA from 1 species